UUUCUCUAUGCAUUCAUUCAUUAUUUCAACAAAUAUUUAUCGGGUGUUUAAUAUGUUUAUAGCCAUGUGCUAAGCACUGAGGUUAUACUUUGUCGUGACUCCAUGGUUAAACUCCACAGGGACAAGAUCCACACAAAUAUUCUGUGUGAAGGACACAUAAAUAGUUUGGGGGUACAUCAUGCCUAUGACUGAUAUGAAGAAGGUGUAAACAAAUGUAUAUUGAAUUAAAGAAUACCUUAAAUAUUUGUUUGUAAGAGAUAUAGUUUUAGGAUUUGUUACAAUAGUUAGAAAAGGGUUUCAUGAAUAUGGAAUGAAAGCUUAGACUGCAACUGUUUUACAAAGCGCUUUUAAAAGUAACUACUAAAAUAAUCUAGUAACACUUUUAGAGUCAUUUAGAAAAGAAUAAAAUAAUCUUAGCCUAGCUAACAGGAUGUUCCAAUAAAACUAUUGUGAAGUGGUAGGACUCUUGAUUAUGGUGAGAAUGGGUCAGAAUGGAUGAAUCAACACAUUUGUGUAAAGAAUAAUAUCUAGAAAUGAUGACAAUGUAUAUUUGAAAGAAAAGAGUAUUAAAAAUGUCUUUAAAUUUUCCAA
ensembl:lncRNA novel transcript